rnacentral:rRNA from 1 species
GAUGAACGCUGGCGGCGUGCCUAAUACAUGCAAGUCGAGCGAACAGACGAGGAGCUUGCUCCUCUGACGUUAGCGGCGGACGGGUGAGUAACACGUGGAUAACCUACCUAUAAGACUGGGAUAUCUUCGGGAAACCGGAGCUAAUACCGGAUAAUAUAUUGAACCGCAUGGUUCAAUAGUGAAAGACGGUUUUGCUGUCACUUAUAGAUGGAUCCGCGCCGCAUUAGCUAGUUGGUAAGGUAACGGCUUACCAAGGCAACGAUGCGUAGCCGACCUGAGAGGGUGAUCGGCCACACUGGAACUGAGACACGGUCCAGACUCCUACGGGAGGCAGCAGUAGGGAAUCUUCCGCAAUGGGCGAAAGCCUGACGGAGCAACGCCGCGUGAGUGAUGAAGGUCUUCGGAUCGUAAAACUCUGUUAUUAGGGAAGAACAAAUGUGUAAGUAACUAUGCACGUCUUGACGGUACCUAAUCAGAAAGCCACGGCUAACUACGU